rnacentral:lncRNA from 1 species
UUCUUUGUUCAACAGUAAAACUUAGAUUACAGUAUUCAUGGUGAAAUCUAUGUUUUUUUUUCAGGUCAUAAUUCAGAGCAGGAACAAGAGAUGGUUUCGGCAGCAAAAUCAGCAUCUGCAAAUGAUGAGGAGCAUAAGGUGCAUGAAGUACAUCAAAUAAUUGCUGAUCACAAUGCACUUCCAUCUAGUGCACAGUACACUCUUCAGGAUAAAAUUGAUAGCAGUGCGGAUGCGGGCCUGGUCCCUUGUGACAAAAUUGCUAGUGUGGUUAUUGCAGUAGAUGACCAAGACCCUAGCAAUGCCUCAGAUAAGGAUGCUCCUGCCUCCACAGAAGAUGAUGGAAAUGGUCUGCAAAGUGAAUGUGUUCAUGUUGAUUUGGUUCUGGCUAAGCAAGAUAAUACGAAAGUUGAAGAUACGCAAAAGUCGAAUCAACCAGCAGAACAAGGGGAAAGCUUGGAGAUGACUGGGUCUAAAUUUAGAUCGGAGACGAGACUGGAAAAAACAGAAGAAACCGUGGAUAAGAGUGGUGGUGACAAUCUACCAACUAUUGAGAAAAAUGAUGAUUCUCCCAUAGAAAGGUCAUCUCCUUCAGCAGACAAAAUUGCCCAAGUAGCAUAUGGGGGUGAAGCAGGAACUGAAACAACUACGGUGGAGGCCGUUUCUGCUAUGAAUUCUGAUGGCUUACAGGAUGUUCGCAAUGCCUUGUCCACCCAUGGCUUAUCAACCAAUGAUAUUACUGUUGCUUCGGAAGAACACAGGGAUCCUGAGAGUCAUUUGUCUGGUGAAGUGUCAAUGUCAGGUGGAUCCUCAGAGCUCAAGUUAGAAUCGCUAAACCAAUCAGAAUCUGCUUGCCAGUCUGGUGAAGUAACUCUGGAAGAUACACAUGCCACCUUGGACAUUCAGAUUCCUGCAUUGAUUGAAUCAGAAGAAAAAAAGUCACCUGGAGGCGAUGUGCAUGGUACUCUCUCUCUCUCUCUCACACACACACACACACACACAAACAAAAUAUUGAAGAUUGUGCACAAACACUGUAUUUUUUGUUCUUGAUAUAGCUUAUGUGACCUGCCAUGUGUGUUGAUAGAGUUGAUUUGCUGUAUGCAAAACUCUGAAGCAUUCAAAACAGUUCUUAAUUGCUGUUUACCUAAUCUCUGUACAGGUAGUGAAGAACAACACAUGCAUGAAGUACUUCAUAAUACUGUUGAUGGCUCUAUCUCUCCAUCCAAUAGGGAGCAGGACAAGCUGCAAGUUCAUAUUGAUACUAACACUGACGUAGACAUUCCUAGUUCUGACAAGGACCAUUCUACUGAUAUUGUUUUAGCAGGUUGCCAAGCCCCUUGCGAUGCCUCAGGUAAGGAUAAGCUGUCCACCUGUGAUGCCUCAGGUAAGGAUAUGGCUGCCCCUACAGACGAUGAUCUCAAUUGUCUGCAAAGUGAAGAUACUGUCAUUCCUGUGGCUGAUGCUAAGGACGAGACUAUGCUAGUCAAAGCUAUUCAGAAUGACGAAAUGUCUAUGGGCUCUUCUCAUGGCUUACCUGCUACCAUACAAUCAACUGAUUCAGAUCGUCUUGCAGAAGAAGGGGAGAGUGCAGAAAUUACUGGCUCUAAAUUUUCAUGCGGGAUGGAACAGGAGAAAAUGGAAGAGCCCUUGGAUAAGAGUGUCACUGACAAUCAAACCAGCAGUCAGAUAAAUGAUGGUUCAAACAACAUGGAUUCACAAAAAGUGGAUAGUUCUUUGCAAGCAGCCGAUGGUGGUGAUCUUUUGGUAAGUAGAGGAACCAGUGUUGAAACCACCACUGCUAUUAAUACUGAUGCGUCAGAUGAAAGUAUCAGUGUGUCCACUCAGUCCGUCAAAGAGGCUAGCACAGUAGAAAUUGGUGCAUCUACUAAUGACAUAGCUCCUGCUUGUGAAUUAAGAAAGGAUUUUGAGUCUCAUGUAUCUGGUUGUGUGUCAAAGCCAGUAGGAUUGUCGGAACUCAGGUUAGAAGAGCUGAGCCAAACAAAGUCUGUUUCGCAGUCUAUUGUAGCAAAUGCUGAAGAAACAAGUACCAGGUCUGACAUUGAAACUCCUGCAAUGGAUGCAUCAGAAAGUAAAUCACCUGAAAGCGAUGUGCAUGGUACUCUCUCUCUCUCUCUCUCUCUCUCUCUCUCUCUCUCUCACACACACACACACACACACACACACAC